rnacentral:rRNA from 1 species
GUGAAAUUGUUGAAAGGGAAACGCUUGAAGUCAGUCGUGCUGGCAUGAAAUCAACUACUGCACACUUGAAAGUGUUGGCGGGUGAGCCUAAAAACCAUCGCAUCGAAAUUUUCGGGCGUGCAGUGGUGCACUUUUGUGUCAGCUGGUUAGCAUCAAUUUUGACUGUCAUAAAAAGGCUGGGGGGUUGUGGCUCCUUCGGGUGUGUUACAACCCUUAGCGGAAUGUGGUGGACGAGAUUGAGGUUUGCAACGGGUGAUGCUUUGCCUGGCCUCUCGCCGGCGUCUUGGAGACGAAAAGGUUAGAGCGGAGCGAUUCGUUAAGGAUGCUGACGUAAUGGCUUUAAACGAC